rnacentral:rRNA from 1 species
UACGAAGGGUGCAAGCGUUACUCGGAAUCACUGGGCGUAAAGCGUGCGUAGGCGGUUCGUUAAGUCUGCUGUGAAAGCCCUGGGCUCAACCUGGGAACUGCAGUGGAUACUGGCGGACUAGAGUGUGAUAGAGGUUGGUAGAAUUCCCGGUGUAGUGGUGAAAUGCGUAGAUAUCGGGAGGAACACCAGUGGCGAAGGCGACUACCUGGCCUGUUUCUUGACGCUGAGGCGCGAAAGCUAGGGGAGCAAACGGGG